rnacentral:rRNA from 1 species
UACGGGGGGGGCAAGCGUUGUUCGGAAUUACUGGGCGUAAAGGGCGCGUAGGUGGCCUUCUAAGUUGAACGUGAAAUCCCUGGGCUCAACCCAGGAACUGCGUCCAAGACUGGGAGGCUUGAAUCCGGGAGAGGGAUGCGGAAUUCCAGGUGUAGCGGUGAAAUGCGCAGAUAUCAGGAGGAACACCAAUGGGCGAAGGCAGCUCGCUGGGACGGUACUGACGCUGGAGACGCGAAAGCGUGGGGAGCGAACAGG